UACGUAGGGCGCAAGCGUUAUCCGGAAUUAUUGGGCGUAAAGAGCCCGUAGGCGGUUUGUCGCGUCUGCCGUGAAAGUCCGGGGCUCAACUCCGGAUCUGCGGUGGGUACGGGCAGACUAGAGUGAUGUAGGGGAGACUGGAAUUCCUGGUGUAGCGGUGAAAUGCGCAGAUAUCAGGAGGAACACCGGUGGCGAAGGCGGUUCUCUGGGCCGACAUUGACGCUGAGGAGCGAAAGCGUGGGGAGCGAACAGG
rnacentral:rRNA from 1 species